UGGGGAAUAUUGGACAAUGGGCGAAAGCCUGAUCCAGCCAUGCCGCGUGUGUGAAGAAGGUCUUCGGAUUGUAAAGCUCUUUAAGUUGGGAGGAAGGGCAGUAAGCGAAUACCUUGCUGUUUUGACGUUACCGACAGAAUAAGCACCGGCUAACUCUGUGCCAGCAGCCGCGGUAAUACAGAGGGUGCAAGCGUUAAUCGGAAUUACUGGGCGUAAAGCGCGCGUAGGUGGUUCGUUAAGUUGAAUGUGAAAGCCCCGGGCUCAACCUGGGAACUGCAUCCAAGACUGGCGGGCUAGAGUAGGGCAGAGGGUGGUGGAAAUUCCUGUGUAGCGGUGAAAUGCGUAGAUAUAGGAAGGAACACCAGAGGCGAAGGCGACCACCUGGGCUCAUACUGACACUGAGAUGCGAAAGCGUGAGGGGCAAACAGG
rnacentral:rRNA from 1 species